AAAAUCUACUAGGUCGUUUCAAUAUUUUUUAAAGUUAAUCGCUCAAAUACAAAGUAAUGAUUUAUUCUGUACAAGUUAUUAGAAAAAUCAAUAAAUUCUGGAAGUGUAUUUUAUUGAUGAAAAACAUACUAAAAAGUAUAGGAAAAUCUAAUGAAUUCCAUGAGCCUAAUAAUCCUAAUCAAAUGUAUUAGAAAAUCUAUUAAUUUUCAAAUAUUUAUUUUUAUAUGGAAUUUACAUUUUGCAUAUCUAAUAAACUAACUAACAAUUCGCACCGACUCGAUUGUUAUGUGAAUUUGGUAAGAAAACCCGUAAAAUGGCCAAAAAAGUACUGCAAACUGUACGCACCGAGGCCGAAAACAUCGCUAGCGAUGAAGCUCGCAGUAGAUGCGAAAAAAAACUUCACCCACCCGGCCGGACAAACACCGGAACAGUUCCAGCGCCGAACGAGGUGAAAACUGGGCAGAAACGACCAUACAUUCACAUCAUCAACAGCAGGAGCAAUACUUUGGCGGAAAAAAAACAUCACUCGUCCAGUUCCUCAAUCAUCAUUGCGACCACACAACCAGUCAUAACAUCCCGAAGGCUGGAGAAUUGUGCUAAUGACCGGAAUCCAGCUAGCAUUAUGUAAAGAGUAUUCCGCUUGGUUUCCCUGCUUGCCGGAUCUCUUCACACAAAAUUUAGCAACUGAAGAAGAAAAUAUUCCGAAUUCGGAUCGAAACGAAUCAAAAACAAGAACAAAGAAUAAGUCGCCACAUCAAAAGCCGCAGCAGUGGACUCUGGCAUAAGAAAACAUCCAACAGCCGUCACUGAUCGUAUCACCAACACCACCACUAGCCCGAGCAUUGACCGGUAAAGUCCCGUACAAACACCAGAGCAUUUCCGGCGCCAAACAAGGUGAACACUGGGCUGGAACAAUCAGCACCACUUCAUCAACAGCAGCAAAAGUAAACAUUACUCUGACGGAUGAAAACUCGUCCACGAUUGCGACCACAGACAACAGCCGCUACCGAUCAGAAGCAUCACCAAAUCCAACAUCAUACAUUCGCUGGAAGCAUUCUCUCUCAUUACUACCCGCUUAUCGCUGGAAGAGCCUAUAGCUACAAGUACUUGAUUUUUCUUCUCCCACGGCAGAAGAGCACCCGGCAGCGGAAGUGGCUCAAGCAGCCGUUACAUUUUUUUGGAUAGUUACUCGGACAAAAUUCUGCGGCUCAAACAGGAACAGAAGGCUCUGCAGGCACGGCUUCAGCGGCAAUCGACGUCACCGGAUUCCCGGACCAAUGGUUCGGGACUGCGUAAGCCCGGUCAAGAUCCAUUUGUCGGAGGUCAGAAACGGAAGAAUCCAUUUUUCAGAAGUGACGAUCCUGUUCAGUAAGACCACUUCCAAAGAAGUGCUGGCCACUGAUGCUACAGUUGCGAACAAACUUUUUGAGCCAAGUUCACAUCGAUCCACACCAACAACUGAUCGGUAAUCAGUGCCAGUAAGCUACCAAAGCCCAUCAAAAAUUUUACCAUCGAUAGGAGGUCUGACGUCUUAAGACCGUUUCUUCGGAAUCAAGAAUUCGUCGGCUGGUCUAAUAUUUCGCUUGGUGCGAGAUUCUAUCAAAGUACAUUAAACUACAAUACAAAGAUUUUACAAAAGGAACUUGAUGGAUACGCAAAUUUGAGGUAGAGUAACCUGGAUGAUGAUUCAGAUUUCAAUCCUAUUUUGCGAUCCUGGUCUUAUGCUAAAGUCGGUGGAACGGUGGAUGGCAUCGUCAACAACGUUGGAUAAUAUAGGAUAGGGAACUUACAAUGAAAACGGAACAACCACCCCCGAAGUGUCAUUUCCUAAUUUGAGCACUUAAGUGAUUAAUAAAAUAUUAUAAUGCUUCAA